GACAGCAGGUCACAGCUGAUUGGCCAGGACUUGCCAUAGCUUAUGGCUGUUUGGGCCUGCCCGAGGGAGUGGGUCAACCCAGGUGAAUGUUACCUGUUGCUGUGUGGUUCCAGGCACAGGGUGCUGAAGAAGUCCAGAACUGCCUGGCCUGACAGUUCACUUCCUAUAUGUGAUAUCAGAAGACACCAUAGCUGACCGGUCAUCUUUUAUUUCUCCACACUGGGAGCUGAGUUAUCUCGGGCAGUGAACCACUGGGCCUCUCAAGUGGGGGAGUUGUGGGUUUGUGUUGCAGUGAAGAGGUUCCCAGGAGACUCUUGACUGGGCCUGGGAGUAAGUGAGACCGGAUCACAGUUCUGGAAUGUGUGUAGACAAAUUCUGAGGCUGUUCCAGGGAAGAGGGGGUUUUGACAGUGUGUUAGGUGGGGUGUGGGUGGCUGUUGGCAGUGGUUGUACCUGCUGCUGUUUUCUCUGGACUAGGGGACAAAGGGGCAUGUAAAUCCUGGAGGAAACUCUGUGAAGUAGGCGACUAAAGGCUUGGUGGGUGGGAAAGGUUAACUAAUGGCUUGGUUUCCUCUCUCUGGACAGAAGGAGGUGCCAAGGGAAAACCCCAGUUGUUUCAGAUUACCUCUGAGGUCCUGGAGGCAGCAGUGGACAUGAUGUCAGUUGGCUGUGGAACCUCAGACAUAGGACACAACCUCAGUUUUCCUGUCCAAAAAGACCUCACAGGGCUGUGGAAAGAAUGACAGGAGGCUGAGGAUGUGGAAGCUCUUUGUAAACUGUGAAGUGUGAUACAAACGUCAGUAUGACCCGUGGUCUCAGGAUGGCCCCAGAGUCGCUGGCUCAGGCUGGCAAAGGAAGCACUGUCACCGCCAUGCCACACUCCCAGGCCCAUGGCAGCAGGUGCAGGUAAACAACAUGGCAUCCUUCCUUUCUCAUAAACCCGGGAUCUAUCUCAGGGUCCUUCUCAAUCCUACAUUCCAGGUAGUGAGUCAUCCCUUUCUAGACUCCAGAAAGUGGAGGCUGUCCAGAGCAGUUCCUGUGCAAGGAAGACUGCCCCACUGGGGCCAUGUCAGGUGCAGUCGCUGCCAGGUCAUCAUCUCUAGUUUCUUUGGGCCGAGAUGAAUCGGAAGAUUCACAGAAAGGGAAAAAUGUGAUCGAGUGUGACGUUCACACAACUUUAGAAGUUUGGAACCAACUCAAGUUACAGAUGUAAAACGGGUGGCAGAUUAGAUUUAUUUCCAAGAACGUCUCUGUGUUUUAACUCUAGUGCCUAAAACUGUUAGCUCUGGUUUUUGAAGGGCUUUAAGAAAUAUAAAUAUGUUUGUAUCAGACAGUCUUUAACUCGCCUCCUCUGGGCAUGCUGAAGCAUGAAGACACUGCAUAAUGCAAGAGAAACUCAGUCCCACCAUCCCCUUCCCAGCACCAAAUUCACUUUACAAGAUGCUCUCGUCUCAUUCUCCUUUCUCUUUCCUGCUCAGAUCUCUGAGUAAAAAUAGGAAACUUAGGACAACAGAUAAUAAGAUAGGAAAUCCACAUGUAUUUACAGAGAGCCUAUUGUGUGCUGGGUCUCUAGCUCAGGGGCUCUCAACGUGGCUGCUCGCCGGGGUUGCCUGUGCAGAUUUAAACUAUGAUGGAAGCCAGGAUCCCACCCAGAGUCUGAUGUAAUUGGUCUGGGGUGUGGCCUGGGCAUCGAGAAUUCAGAAAGUUCCCCAGGUGCCUCUACUGUGUAGCUAGGGUUGAGGACUUCCACCCUAGACACACAGUGGUGGGCAGGUAGACCUGGGGUCAGAGAUGGCUGUGAGCUGUCAGCUAGGAUGUGCCCCAUCUGAGCUUUGUACCAGCUAUUUCAAACAGGCAGCUUCAGAGGCAGUUUGAAAUAGGACAGCCUGUUCUGUUAGGUCCCAGAAUGUAUAUUUAUUAAGUGCCAUUAGAAGGGACCUGAACAAAAUUGGAUGUUCUUAUAGGUAUAAGGGAGAAAAAUGAAAUAUACUUGGAACCAAGUAUAUCUCCUGAAGGGAAUAUAAAAGUGUAUUCAGUAGCAUGUGGGUUAUGGUUUUUCAUAGACCAGGCAUAAGAUUAAAAGUCACUGAAGGGUAGGCAAAUGCAUAUUGGGAAGGCGGAGAAUGGCCUGUACUCUCUCUAGCGAACUCUGUAAUGUGCCUUUCCCCCUCCCUACAACUUUUGCACUGUGUCUUAUUUAUUUACGUAUUGGGUUGUCUCAUACUAAACUAGCUAUUUGCCUAUGAAUCUAACAAUCUAACAAGACUUCUAGGAGUUGAAGACUAAUUCACAAGGGCACCCCUUGCUUCCUGUGGUAGAAUGAGACCUCUUCAACCCUUUGGGCCUGAACUCAAUUUUGGACAUGAGGACAAGAUUACUAUAUCAAAGGAAAAAUGAAUGAAUUCUUGGUUAAUAUGACAAGUGCUAGCUCAGUGAGUAACUCAUGUAAACUGCUGGGAAUAAAGGACUUCAAAGAUGAAAA